rnacentral:rRNA from 1 species
UACGUAGGUGGCAAGCGUUGUCCGGAUUUACUGGGCGUAAAGAGCGCGCAGGCGGUCGUUCAAGUCGAGUGUGAAAGCCCCCGGCUCAACUGGGGAGGGUCAUUCGAUACUGAUCGACUGGAAGGCAGGAGAGGGAAGUGGAAUUCCCGGUGUAGUGGUGAAAUGCGUAGAUAUCGGGAGGAACACCAGUGGCGAAGGCGACUUCCUGGCCUGUUCUUGACGCUGAGGCGCGAAAGCUAGGGGAGCAAACGGG